rnacentral:lncRNA from 1 species
UGGUCACCAGGUUUCACAGCCCAGGGAGCGGUGUCACCUCUCUGGAAUCCAGAAUCGUGGGUGGGGUGAACUACUACUUCAAUGUGAAGUUCGGUCGAACCACAUGCACCAAGUCCCAGCCCAACUUGGACAACUGUCCCUUCAAUGACCAGCCAAAACUGAAAGAGGAAGAGUUCUGCUCUUUCCAGAUCAAUGAAGUUCCCUGGGAGGAUAAAAUUUCCAUUCUGAACUACAAGUGCCGGAAAGUCUAGGGGUCUGUGCAAGGCCUGUCACACUGACCACCUCCUACUCCCACCCCCUGUAGUGCUCCCACCCCUGGACUGGUGGCCCCCACCCUGGGGGAGGUCUCCUCAUGCGCCUGCACCAGGAGACAGACACAGAAGGUGGCAGGAGGCCUUUGUUGCUCAGCAGGAGGCUCUGCCCUUGCUCCUUCCUUCUUGCUUCUCAUAGCCCCAGUGUGCAGUGCACACUCUCCCACCUCCUGCAAUUAAACAGUAG